AGAGAGAGGAUGAAAGGGGAGGAUGGGGGGAGGUGUAAUAAAAGUGAAAACAAUGUCAAAUAUAUUUUAAUUUUUAGUUUUUGUUUUACUUUUGUUACUCCCCUCUCCCAUCCUCCCCUCUCAUCUUCCUUCUAA
rnacentral:miRNA from 1 species